AGACCAGUAGCUCAAUUGGUUAGAGCAGCGGUCUCCAAAACCGCAGGUUGGGGGUUCGAGUCCCUCCUGGUCUGCCA
rnacentral:tRNA from 5 species